GCGCCGGUGGUGUAAGGCGAACAUCGCUGCGCGGAAAGCAGAAGAUGCGGGUUCGAGUCCCGCCUGGCGCA
rnacentral:tRNA from 1 species